UCCUCGUUAGUCUAGUUGGCUAGGAUACACGGCUCUCACCCGUGAGACCCGGGUUCAAUUCCCGGACGAGGAG
rfam:Stylonychia lemnae strain 130c genome assembly, contig: Contig15899